rnacentral:snRNA from 1 species
GUAACCCAUGAGUCUCAUUAAAACCCUUGGAAUGAUACAGAGAAGAUUAGAAUGGCCCCUGAGCAAGGCUGACACGCAAAUUUGUAAAGCCUUCCACAUUUAC